CCAGCAUAAACGCACAACUGCCUACCAUCC
rnacentral:sRNA from 1 species